UAGUUGUGCUUUUUUAAAAAGCUGAAGUCCUGAGCGAAGAGCCCAUCCUGAAGUGGUACAAGGAUGCACACAUGGCCAAGGGGAAGAGCGUCUUCCUGGAGCAGAUGAAGAAGUUCGUGGAGUGGCUCAAGAACGCGGAGGAAGAGUCCGAGUCUGACGCUGAAGACGGGGACUGAGUUUCGAGCCUGCAUCCUCAGUAAAGCGAGCAUGGUGUAGCUAACUGUGUCUCAUGUGUCCUGGUUCGUACAUCUUCCUACCUCCCCAUAUCGAGCAUGAUAGAGAAGGGCUUUCAUGGCAGAUUUCAUUUUU